AUGACGGCGACUCAGAUAUGUGCGUACGCGGCAGAGGCGGCAGAUCCGGCAGUAAGAGCUGUUGCUACUCUUCCAUUUGUCCACCAUCUGGUCGUCCUUGACUCAGCCAUGCCCCCCUAGUCGUCCUCGUCUCUGAUGCCGGUUAUGGAUGCAAGGAUGCGUCUGGUACUUCAGACGGGAGCACUGAUAGCUGUGAUUCAGGCAUGGGUCAUGUUCAUGCACAAGAGAGUUGUUUGUCAUGCUGAGAGACCCGUCAUCAGAUAUGGUCCAAUGCUUAUGCGGGAGCAGGAAAGAAUCUCCAAUCUGAACUACAUAUACAACUGUAAUGACAUAGAGACUCUGUGGAUGCUUAGAAUGAAAAGAGCACUAUUUGCCAGACUUGUUCAGACCUUCAGGCAGGGGCUGCUAGAAGAUAGCAUCCACACCAGUGUGGAUGAGCAAGUGGCCAUGUUCCUUCAUAUUGUUGGCCAUAACCAGAGGUUCAGAGUUAUCCACACCACGUUCAAGAGGUCAAUGAAGACCAUCUUAAGGUACUUCAAGCAAGUGUUGUAUGCUGUUGGGGAGCUCAGAAGAGAGAUGGUCAAGUCACCAACUGGCCAGACUCCUACCAAGAUUCGCACAAGCCCAAGAUGGUAUCCAUACUUCAAGGUGAGCACUACAGUAUGUAGUUCAUUGCUUGAUAUGCUUGGAUAG
rnacentral:rRNA from 1 species